AGUCUUUUGUGCUUGAUAGUGAAGAGGAGUUAGAAGAAAAAGAAGCCCCAAAUAGACCUCUUGAUGUUCCACUUAUGGUUCCAAAUCAAUCAAAGACUGAAAGGAAGAUUAGAGGAAUCAAGAGUCCUUUGUCAAGUUUGGUUUUUGACGGUAGUUAUGUGAAUAUGACUAGUAAUGAUGGGUUUUCUGGGAUUUUGAAGUCAGCAAAAGAGGCAUUUGAGGUAGGUAAAAAGUUCUGGAAAGAGCUUGAAUUGUAUAAAAAAGAAGUGGGUAGUAUUGUAGAAAGUAACAAGACAGAAGAAUGUCCUCAUUCCAUUUCAAUAUCAGGGUCUGAGUUUUUGGGGAAAGGGAGAAUGAUGGUGUUGCCAUGUGGGCUUACUCUUGGUUCACAUAUAACUGUUGUGGGUAAACCGAGAAGGGCUCAUCAGGAGCGUGAUCCAAAGAUAUCACUGCUGAGGGAAGGUCAAUUCUUGAUGGUUUCACAGUUUAUGAUGGAGUUGCAAGGUCUAAAGACUGUUGAUGGGGAGGACCCACCUAGGAUUCUUCACUUCAACCCACGGUUGAGUGGUGAUUGGAGCGGGAAGCCGAUGAUUGAGCAGAACACUUGUUAUAGGAUGCAGUGGGGAACGGCUCAAAGGUGUGAUGGGUGGAGGUCCAGGGAUGAUGAGGAGACUGUUGAUGGCCAGGUAAAGUGUGAGAAGUGGAUCCGAGAUAAUGACACCAACCAUUCGGAGCAAUCAAAGGCAUCUUGGUGGUUAAACCGGCUUGUAGGGCGAAAAAAGAAGGUCGAUUUUGAUUGGCCAUUCCCAUUUUCAGAGGAUAGGUUAUUUGUUCUAACUCUCAGUGCCGGUUUUGAGGGUUAUCACGUGAACGUUGAUGGGAGGCAUGUGACCUCAUUUCCAUAUCGAAUUGGAUUUGCGCUCGAGGAUGCCACUGGUUUGUCUUUGAAUGGUGAUAUUGAU
rnacentral:misc_RNA from 1 species